rnacentral:SRP_RNA from 1 species
GAUGGCGCCGAGGCCGGUUCUGGAAGCAUCAGUGUGGACCAGGGGUGCUAUGUUGCGCUUUUUGGACUCCCAGGAGACUUGGAAGAGGGAAGUGACGUCAACGACUAGAAAAACGCAGAUUGGAUGUUGACAGAAGAAAACAAAGUCAACAUCCAAUCUGCAUUUGCUGCGUUGUUGACGUCACUUCCCUCUCCCUAGUCUCCUGGGAGUCCAAAAAGCGCAACAUAGCCCCCCUG